rnacentral:rRNA from 1 species
AUUGAACGCUGGCGGCAGGCCUAACACAUGCAAGUCGAGCGGAUGAAGGGAGCUUGCUCCUGGAUUCAGCGGCGGACGGGUGAGUAAUGCCUAGGAAUCUGCCUGGUAGUGGGGGAUAACGUCCGGAAACGGGCGCUAAUACCGCAUACGUCCUGAGGGAGAAAGUGGGGGAUCUUCGGACCUCACGCUAUCAGAUGAGCCUAGGUCGGAUUAGCUAGUUGGUGGGGUAAAGGCCUACCAAGGCGACGAUCCGUAACUGGUCUGAGAGGAUGAUCAGUCACACUGGAACUGAGACACGGUCCAGACUCCUACGGGAGGCAGCAGUGGGGAAUAUUGGACAAUGGGCGAAAGCCUGAUCCAGCCAUGCCGCGUGUGUGAAGAAGGUCUUCGGAUUGUAAAGCACUUUAAGUUGGGAGGAAGGGCAGUAAGUUAAUACCUGGCUGUUUUGACGUUACCAACAGAAUAAGCACCGGCUAACUUCGU